rnacentral:rRNA from 1 species
GACGAACGCUGGCGGCGUGCCUAAUACAUGCAAGUAGAACGCUGAAGGAGGAGCUUGCUUCUCCGGAUGAGUUGCGAACGGGUGAGUAACGCGUAGGUAACCUGCCUGGUAGCGGGGGAUAACUAUUGGAAACGAUAGCUAAUACCGCAUAAUAGUAGAUGUUGCAUGACAUUUGCUUAAAAGGUGCAAUUGCAUCACUACCAGAUGGACCUGCGUUGUAUUAGCUAGUUGGUGGGGUAACGGCUCACCAAGGCGACGAUACAUAGCCGACCUGAGAGGGUGAUCGGCCACACUGGGACUGAGACACGGCCCAGACUCCUACGGGAGGCAGCAGUAGGGAAUCUUCGGCAAUGGACGGAAGUCUGACCGAGCAACGCCGCGUGAGUGAAGAAGGAUUUCGGUUCGUAAAGCUCUGUUGUUAGGGAAGAAUGAUUGUGUAGUAACUAUACACAGUAGAGACGGUACCUAACCAGAAAGCCACGGCUAACUACGUGCCAGCAGCCGCGGUAAUACGUAGGUGGCAAGCGUUGUCCGGAAUUAUUGGGCGUAAAGCGCGCGCAGGUGGUUUAAUAAGUCUGAUGUGAAAGCCCACGGCUCAACCGUGGAGGGUCAUUGGAAACUGUUAAACUUGAGUGCAGGAGAGAAAAGUGGAAUUCCUAGUGUAGCGGUGAAAUGCGUAGAGAUUAGGAGGAACACCAGUGGCGAAGGCGGCUUUUUGGCCUGUAACUGACACUGAGGCGCGAAAGCGUGGGGAGCAAACAGG